rnacentral:rRNA from 1 species
AUACGUAGGGGGCAAGCGUUAUCCGGAAUCAUUGGGCGUAAAGGGUGCGUAGGCGGCCCUAUGGGUCAGAGGUUAAAGGCUACGGCUCAACCGUAGUAAGCCUUUGAAACUGUAGGGCUUGAGUGCAGGAGAGGAGAGUGGAAUUCCUAGUGUAGCGGUGAAAUGCGUAGAUAUUAGGAGGAACACCAGUGGCGAAGGCGACUCUCUGGACUGUAACUGACGCUGAGGCACGAAAGCGUGGGUAGCGAACAGGAUUAGAUACCCUGGUAGUCCACGCCGUAAACGAUGAGUGCUAGGUGUUGGGGGUCAAACCUCGGUGCCGCAGUUAACGCAUUAAGCACUCCGCCUGGGGAGUACGUACGCAAGUAUGAA